CGGAGCCAGCUGAUUAUAGGCUGAAACCUCCACAAACUGACAGUAAAGAAGGUCUGGCAGAGUCUGACAGAACUACAGCUGGCAAAUGGCACAGGUGCCAAGGACAGAGCUGCGCCGUUCGCCGCUCUCUUCAUAGCAGUCUUGGAUUCGGCCUCCAAACUCCUCGAGACCCAGACUCUCACGGUGGGCACACAAAGCACUUUCAGAGACUGCUAAGAGACUCGGACACAGCCAGCCUCUCGUGCUUGGCAACAGGUGCAGUUGCCAGGCCCACCCCACGCCUCUCCAUUACUGUGGGAUUAUGGGCUCAAGCGUCUACAAGGCAAUUCACUCAGGCUCUAGACUUCCAGUCAGCAGCCUUGGAAGACGAACAACCAGAUCUCUCGUCUAUAGUUGUGAACAAAACCACUGAUUAUUACUACAG